rnacentral:lncRNA from 1 species
UCCAUUCAUAAACAUUUAUUGUGUACUUACUAUAUUUUAGGCACUUUGUGAUACAAACAACUCUUCUCCAAUAGUUUAGUGGGAAAGAGUCAAAUAUCAUAAUACUGUGUAAUUUGAUAAACGCUUUAAGUCAGCAAUACAGAGAGGUGAUGGCUCAUUCGGCUGAGGGACUGGCAAAAGGUAUUGUUUGAAGUUAGUCCAGAAUGAUGUGUAGGAAUUGCUCUGGCUGAGAACGUAGAAAAGAUAUUUAAUUUAAAGUAGACAACAGCAAGUGCAAAGGUUGGAAAGGUGAUCAUGUAUUUUAUAGAAAGCAAUAUUGCACGGCUGAAGAUCAUGGAAGCCAGAGUAGGUGAGAUUAUAUAGCUAGUCGGGGAAUAAAUAAAGCAGGGUCUUGUAUGACUCUUGAAAACUCCUGGAACCUUAUCUUGGAGGCGACGUGGACCAUGGCAUUUUUGUGGCUUGAUAGGUCUCUCUCUUGUGUUUUUAAUUAUACUGAAGUUACCUUAGCUUAAAAAAAUGAGGGCAUUAGCAUCAUUUCUAGCCACCAUGCUCACCUAUCUUCUUUUCUUAGUGUCUUCCCCAAAUUUCAAAAAGUGCUCUUCAUAGUUUUAUAUUUUACUUGAAUCUUCCUUAACCUCAUUGAAUAAUGCUUGUCCCACUAGCCAUUCUGCUUGAUCAUUUCAUCCCAGUCACCAUGUCAUCUCCUAAGUUCUGUGCUCAACAGUCUUUCUUUACUUCCCAGGGUCCCAGCCCUCUGGAAAGCAUUGCCCACUCUUGGUCAGCUCCUGCCCCUCUAUUCUGGACACUGCACUGCUGUCAGUGUUUUAUAAUUCACUGGGAUUCUCCCCCGUCUCUUCUCUGCUAGUAUUUCUGCUAGUUCCAAUUCUAAAUCUGUGCAUAAUAACUAAGGUUUAGCCCUUAGCUGUCUGACUUUUUCUUUCUACAGAAAAAUCUCAU